ACUCUUUGCAACUCUCUUCGGCCCAAUUAUCUAACAGAAGUUCAGCCCAAGUCCCCAGGUUCUUCCGCCGAAGGAGACUCACUCACUUCCACUCUCCCUCUUCUCUUCCUGCCAUUUUAAAACUCCAUCCCCGAUCCUGCGGUCACGACCAUCGGCUCCGAUUACCCUUGGAAUCGGCUUUCGCAAGCAUCGUUUUGCGACUUCUUCAACUGCUUUAUCAAGCUUUCGCUCAAUAUUGAUUGUAAUGCUUCUUCCUCCACUGGGGUUAGGGUUUAGUACCUUGUUGAGUUUUUUAAUUGGAGAAUGGAUAUAGCUCUCAAAUAUGACCAGAGCCGAAAUCGAAAACGCAAGGGAGGACAUGGUUACCGAUGAGUGUAAACCUGAAAAUUUGUUUAAGUGUUUCCCGUGAUAUUCAUUGCUUAACUUUAACUCUGAUCAAAGUUACCAUAUUCCGCUUAGAAUGCAUACUAGCCAUAAAUGUCCCAGCGCCCCUUCCUCCCAACUCCGGGGGGGAGGCAGCUUGUUUCUUAUAUUGUAAGGUAACCAACUUUUGAAUUUACUAAAAUAGGCACAAUUUAAUUGAAAGUUCGACCA